rnacentral:misc_RNA from 1 species
AUUACAUAAAGGAAGUCAAGAACAAGAAAGUGUGAUAGAGAACAAUGAUUCUUGAUGAUUUCAAAAGUGGUAGUUCCAAUAGAAACAAAAUCUUGGGUUGUCUUUUAUGGGAACUUGUAACUUUGGAGCCUAUCCAAUUGACAAAUUUAUUUUUAUUUUUCAAAAAAAGAAUAUUCCACAUGCAUUAUCAAUGUAUUAUUGAUCAUCUAAGCCCCAUGUAAGAAAG